UGUUAAAGGGGGCGGGGCCUGGGCGGUCCCGGGGGGGCUCCCAAUGAUCCCAGCCCCCCCCUCCCCCCUGGCGUUCGGUAACUGGGAUGGACUGGGAUGGACUGGGAUGGACUGGGAAUGGAUUGGUCCAGGGGAACUGGGCCAAACUGGGCCAAACUGGGCCAAACUGGUCCGGACUGGUCCAGGGAACUGGGAAUUCUGGGUCCAAACUGGUCUGGACUGGUCCAGGGAACUGGGAAUUCUGGGUCCAAACUGGCCCAAACUGGUCCAGGGGAACUGGGCCAAACUGGGCCAAACUGGUCCGGACUGGUCCAGGGAAACUGGGAAUUACUGGCCCAAACUGGCCCAAAGUGGUCCAGACUGGUCCAGGGGAACUGGGCCAAACUGGGCCAAACUGGGCCGGACUGGUCCAGGGGAACUGGGAAUUCUGGGUCCAAACUGGGCCAAACUGGUCCAAACUGGCCCAGGGAACUGGGAAUUGCGAGUCCAAACUGGUCCGGACCGGUCCAGGGAACUGGGAAUUCUGGGUCCAAACUGGGCCAAACUGGGCCAAACUGGUCCAGGGGACUGGGGGAUACUGGUCAGGGGAACUGGAGCAAGCUGGUCCAAACUGGUCCAGACUGGUCCGGACUGGUCCAGGGAAACUGGGAAUUACUGGCCCAAACUGAUCUGGACUGGUCCAAACCGGUUCAGACUGGUCCAGGGAACUCAGAGAUACUGGGCCAAACUGGUCCAGAAUGGUUCAGACUGGUUCAGACUGGGUCAAACUGGUCCAGACUGGUCCAAACUGGGCCAAAGUGGCCCAAAAUGGUUCAGACUGGUCCAAACUGGUCCAAAGUGGGCCAAAGUGGCCCAAACUGGUUCAAACUGGUCCGUUCUGGUCCAAAGUGAACCAAAAUGGUUCAGACUGGUCCAAACUGAUCCCAACUGGGCCAAACUGGUCCGUACUGGGCCAAACUGGGCCAAACUGAUCCUAAGUGGUCCAAGGUGGCCCAAACUGGUCCAAACUGGUCCAAAGUGACCCAAAAUGGUUCAGACUGGUCCAAACUGACCCAAACUGGUCCGUACUGGUUUGUACUGGUGGGGGCAUCCCGGGGUUCCAG
rnacentral:lncRNA from 1 species